rnacentral:rRNA from 1 species
GAUGAACGCUAGCGGGAGGCUUAACACAUGCAAGUCGAGGGGCAGCACGAGGUAGCAAUACUUUGGUGGCGACCGGCAGACGGGUGAGUAACGCGUAUGUAACCUACCCUGUACAGGGGGAUAACCCGGAGAAAUUCGGACUAAUAUCCCAUAGAAAUAUCGGAAGGCAUCUUUUGAUAUUUAAAGUUCCGGCGGUACGGGAUGGGCAUGCGUAACAUUAGCUAGUUGGUAAGGUAACGGCUUACCAAGGCUUUGAUGUUUAGGGGUCCUGAGAGGGUGAUCCCCCACACUGGUACUGAGACACGGACCAGACUCCUACGGGAGGCAG